GACUGCGUACCUUUUGUAUAAUGGGUCAGCGACUUACUUUCAGUGGCAAGCUUAACCGUAUAGGGAAGGCGUAGGGAAACCGAGUCUUAAAUGGGCGAUUUAGUCGCUGAGAGUAGACCCGAAACCGAGCGAUCUACCCAUGGCCAGGGUGAAAGCAGGGUAAUACCUGCCGGAGGCCCGAACCCACUCCCGUUGAAAAGGUAGGGGAUGAGCUGUGGGUCGGAGUGAAAGGCUAAUCAAGCUCGGAGAUAGCUGGUUCUCCUCGAAAGCUAUUGAGGUAGCGCCUCGCGUCUAACUCAGGGGGGUAGAGCACUGUUACGGCUAGGGGGGACAUAAGUCCUUACCAAACCGUUGCAAACUCCGAAUACCCUGAAGUUCAAUCGCGGGAGACACACGGUGGGAGCUAAAUUUCAUCGUGAAGAGGGAAACAACCCAGACCGCCAGCUAAGGUCCCUAAAACCGGCUAAGUGGGAAACGAAGUGGGAAGGCUAAAACAGUCAGGAUGUUGGCUUAGAAGCAGCCAUCAUUUAAAGAAAGCGUAAUAGCUCACUGGUCGAGUCGGCCUGCGCGGAAGAUGUAACGGGGCUCAAACCAUACACCGAAGCUACGGGUAUCACCUUCGGGUGAUGCGGUAGAGGAGCGUUCUGUAAGUCUGUGAAGGU
rnacentral:rRNA from 1 species